UACAGAGGGGGCAAGCGUUGUUCGGAAUUACUGGGCGUAAAGGGCGCGUAGGCGGCCUGUUAAGUCGAACGUGAAAUCCCUGGGCUCAACCCAGGAACUGCGUCCGAUACUGGCAGGCUUGAAUCCGGGAGAGGGAUGUGGAAUUCCAGGUGUAGCGGUGAAAUGCGUAGAUAUGACAUAGAACACCAAUUGCGAAGGCAGCUUACUACGGAUGUAUUGACACUGAGGCACGAAAGCGUGGGGAUCAAACAGG
rnacentral:rRNA from 1 species